CUUUGGAGUGGCUCAGCUCAGUUCUAAUCCUUGCUGCUUCAAUUUCCAUCCAGCUCCCUGCUUGUGGCCUGGGAAAGCAGUGGAAGAUGGCAUGGGGCCUU